GGGUCUGUGGCUUAGUGGUAGAGCUUCUGCUUGGCACGCAGAAGGUCCCAGGUUCAAUCCCUGGCAGUUCCA